CCUACGGGAGGCAGCAGUGAGGAAUAUUGGUCAAUAGGCGCGAGCCUGAACCAGCAAAGCCGCGUGAGGGAAGACGGUCCUAUGGAUUGUAAACCUCUUUUGUCGGGGAGAAAAAGACGCCACGCGUGGCGUUCCGAGAGUACCCGACGAAAAAGCAUCGGCUAACUCCGUGCCAGCAGCAGCGGUAAUACGGAGGAUGCGAGCGUUAUCCGGAUGUAUUGGGGUUAAAGGGUGCGCAGGCGGAAGCUCAAGUCAGCGGUAAAAUUGAGAGGCUCAACCUCUUCGAGCCGUUGAAACUGGUUGUCUGGAGUGAGUGAGAGGUAGGCGGAAUGCUUGGUGUAGCGGUGAAAUGCAUAGAUAUCACGCAGAACUCCGAUUGCGAAGGCAGCAUACCGGAGCUCAACUGACGCUCAUGCACGAAAGUGUGGGUAUCGAACAGGAUUAGAUACCCGUGUAGUC
rnacentral:rRNA from 1 species